AUGGCGACUAGUGACACAGGCAGUUCAAAAAACAAGUCACGGAGGUGGACCCAUGAAGAAGAUGUUGCCUUAGUUUGUUGUAUGGUUAACCUCCAUAAUUUAGGAACAAAGAAUGCUGAUACUAGAUUCAAAGGUGGGUAUUUGAAUGAGUUGGAGAGGAUGCUAAAAGCUAAAAUACCGACUUUGGACAUAAAAGCUAAACCUCAUAUUGAGUCAAGGAUAAGGACAUUGAAAAAAGAUUGGACCGUAGUACAUGAUCUUUUCACUAGUAAUAACAGUGGCUUUGGAUGGGAUGAAGAAAGAAAGAUGGUCACGAUUGAAGACUAUGUGCGGGAUUCUUAAUUAUAUAAGUACACACAGAGAAGCUGCUCAGUUCAGAAGGAAAAGUUUUCCUUUCUAUCAUGAAUUUAGUUCUAUCUAUGCAAAAGAUCGUGCAACAUGGAGGGAUGCACAAACUGGAGAAGAUAUUAUUGAAGAAAUGACUAAUGAGGAAGGCAUUGGUGGGAUCAAUCUAGCUAGUGAAGAUGAAGAUGUUGGUGAUGAAGAUAUGCCAAAUAGUAAUAUCAGAUUUACCCAAGCUCACUCUUCAUAAGGUAAUAGGGCACGAAGUGAAGCAAAUUCAGAAUCAUUGUCUAGUGGUGCAAGAAGAAAGAGGAAGAAUAGUGAUAGAGAUGAACCAAUUACUUCACAAUCCUUUCACAGUACUGCAAUGAUGUUGAAUGAAACAUUGUUGAUGGUUGGUGAUAAACUAACUAAGAGCAUUGGAACUCAAUUAAUUCUUCAAGAAAAAGUGCAACAGUUAGACGAAGAGUUAAUUCAACUUGAUGGAUUAUCAAACGAAGAAUAUUUGAUGACUUUGAUCAAACUUCCUGACCAUCCAAAUCAGAUGCUUGUGUUUUUUAGCCUUCCACCAGAUCGAAGAUUGGGAUGGGUGAGAGCUUUUCUUGCUACACAUUGACUUUGUUGGUUGAUGUGGAUGUUGUACUAUUAGUUAGUAUCUUAUGAUGGUUUUUGUAAGUAAGUUUUUGAUAAGCUUAACAUUUUAUUAUGCGUGUGGUGUUGUAAUAUUUGUAAUGUUUUUUGAAUGUAAGCUUUUAAUAAGCUUAACAUUUUAUUAAGUGUAUGUUAUUGUAAUAUUUGUAAUAUUUU